CUAGGGGCACUCCAGGCUCUGGGCUCAGACGGCUGGCUUCUGCCUACCCGAGCCUUAACCUUUCAAGGACCAGAAGGAUUCCAGAGCUCUUGCCCUAGGUCCUGGGGCAGCGAUGACUCACUGCAGCACCCCCUCCCACUUCGCCAAGCUGCCGUCUCCGCCCACCCCCAAACAAUCUCGACAGCGCAUUUCGGGAGCCACGGCUCCGGGCGCUUUGCUGGGGGCUAAAGGGGUUUAUCCCUUUCCUUGAAUCCCAGCAGGCUAGAACUACCCCCUCCCAGUCUUCAGGCUUGCCACGCUCUCCACCCGAUCCUUCCAUUGAAAGGCAGAGAAGGAAGGAUGUGCUUGGGAACUUUAAGACCCACGAACGACAGCGCACUGAUGGAGCAGCCCAGUGUCUGGGGCAAAGUCCUCGAGGUUCAUUCAUUCAGGAAGCCUCUGACCAGCCUUUACCAUGCGCUGAGUGAGAAGCUGAGGAUAAGGAAAGAGCAAGACCCCCAAGAAACCCUGAUGUCUGGCUGAAAGCCGAAGCAUGACGCAACUUUGCUAUAUUUCUCUCCAACAAGGAUUUGUAUAUUUUCGCUUUCUCCUCAAGUAACACCUGGACCUGCUCCUUUCCCUUCAAACGCUGAGGGCUCAGUCUCCAAGUUCCUUUAUGAAACAGGGUGUACCAUCAGAGACGCAGGUAUUUAUUGAAACCUGCUUUGUGCUGGGCAAUGUGCCAGAUGUUGGGGAUAAAAUGGAGACUUCAGAAAUGAAGAUGCAAAGACAACAGGGGAAACCAUAUAUGUUUAUGGACAGUCAUGCCAAAGUAUGAUUGGAAGACAAAAAGAUUUUUGGCCAAUUCACUGCUCACUAACAUCUCCAUCAAAGGGUAACUGGGUUGGGGCACCGGGUGUGGGAAGGAGAGGAAGGAAACGAGAAUCGGCAGUUUCCAUUACCUGCUAGCAACUCUGGAAAAACACACAUUGUAAAAUAAGAAUUCUUCAAAGACAACUUGAAGACAUCUGGGAAUUCUGAAGCCUGAAAAUUCCAUGAGUUCAUAGCAGUGUUCACUAAUUCCACUGAUCUAAAGACAAAAAGGAGAGUCAACUGCGUGCCCAAACUCAUUUCUGAUGAUUUCUUCCAUCCUAACUUUUCUGCCUCUCUGGGGGUGGUUAUGCCUGUGAAAAACAUUGAAGCUGUCAGGAACAGAGUCGGCUUUCAAGAUUGGAAUGUCAAAGUAGAGUCUUCUUUUCCUCAGACCAGAAGGGGCUUGGUUGGGGAUAAAGCUUAAAAGCAUGGGAUGUAUCUCCAUUAGGAAAUAUGAAGUGAGUUGGUAUAUUACAGCCCCCACAUGCAAGAAUAGCAAUGCUGGCAAUUUGGAUAAGCCAAAGAGAAGCCACAAAGUACUUCAAGUAAAAAUGUGAAAGUUCUUGACUUAACAAGGAAAAAAAAGUCAUGCUGAGGCAGCUGAGAUCUACAGUAUCAGCCCAAGAAAAAUAAAAAACAUAUGUCUGCUACACAGACUGCUUGUCUACCUAUGUAUCAACACUUGUUGAACAUAAUGUGAAUGAAUCUCAAAAAUAUUUUGCUGAGUAAAAGUGCCCAAUCCCCAAAAACUACACAUCAUAUGACUCAAUUUGUUUGAAGAUCUAAAACAGUUGAAGAAACCGAAGCACAAAGAAUAACUUGUCCAAGAUCACAGAGUUUAGGAAGUAAGGAAGCAGGGCUUUGAGCUUUGCAUCAAGUGAUGACCCAUAAAUGCAAAUGGAAUACAACAGGAGUGGGUCCCUAAAGUCCCACCCAGAGAAUGCCCUUCUGCCAAAAAAUUUCGGAUUGAAACAGCAAAAACACCUAAGCAACUGAUAGUCAGGUGGUUCUCUGAUUUAAUUGUUUGAAAGCAGUCACUGGAAGCAAAGCUAUGUGACUCAGCUUUGGUGAUGUACUCCAGCUGGAGUCUGACAGAUGGUCAUAGCAACCUAGAACCAUUGAUUCAUGGAGUUUCUAGCAAAAGGUCAUUAGGAACUAAUGGAAGUGUUAGGAGGAAGAUGAGCUCAGUUUUGAUGAUGAUUAUUCACAUGACUUUCAUUGACUUUGAAGAAGUGUCUGGAUGAAGCUGGAUGAAGACUGACAAUCACUGCCCAUCUUACACAGCAACUGUGAACAGACUGUAUGUGAAUGCAUUCUAUAAACUAUGGAGAGUUAUGAAGCUAUAAAGGGUUAUUUAUUUAUGCAAUGAUUCUUAGUACAUUCAUUACUUACAUUUAAUAUCUGCUUUC
ensembl:lncRNA ADAMTS9-AS2 ADAMTS9 antisense RNA 2